AUAUCUCUCUUACGGGAAGGAUGAGAAGCUUCGACUAAGGUUCGAUUCGAGCGAAAGCGAGAAAGCGUUGCCGCAGGCAACGACCCGAAGGGCGAAGCGCGCAGCGCUGAGUCAUCCUUCCCCCACCACCA
rfam:Salmonella enterica subsp. enterica serovar Newport str. SL254, complete genome.